UACGAAGGGGGCUAGCGUUGCUCGGAAUCACUGGGCGUAAAGGGUGCGUAGGCGGGUCUUUAAGUCAGGGGUGAAAUCCUGGAGCUCAACUCCAGAACUGCCUUUGAUACUGAAGAUCUUGAGUUCGGGAGAGGUGAGUGGAACUGCGAGUGUAGAGGUGAAAUUCGAUAGAUAUUCGCAAGAACACCAGUGGCGAAGGCGGCUCACUGGCCCCGAUACUGACGCUGAUGCACGAAAGCGUGGGGAGCAAACAGG
rnacentral:rRNA from 1 species